CUAAAUAUUAUUGGUUGUUUUCACCUGUUUUCACUUGUCUAAAUAUUAUUGGUUGUUUUCACAGGUCUGAAGAGGCAUGUAUUAUGUUUCAGAAGUCCAGAUGUUUUUAGCAGGAGAAAAAAACAGGCUUCUUUAAACUCCCUCUGUCUUAUCUAGAUAAAUAAACAAAACAACUUGGUUUUAUUUAAUCUCAAGAACAUAAUCAAUAGUUAAAUGGGCAUAUUUUUGGGGGGUCAAAAUUACUAAUAUAUUUUAUCUGACAAAGAAAACAGUCAUAGACAGAUUUCCUGUUUAUAACUGAAAGGUUUCCACAUGUAAAUUAAACAAAUAAAUAACUUUUACCUUC